rnacentral:rRNA from 1 species
AUGGCGGACCAGGCGGUUGAUUUGGCCCAGGUGGAGGGGAGCCCGCAUUGGCCUCCUUGUGGAAAACCUGCAUCAUCUCGAACUCGUCGGUGCGAUAGCGUGCAGCGUGACAUGGUGUUCAUCACCGGCGAGUUCCAGAUGAUGCAGGCCUUCAUCAAGGCGGAGCGCGUGGAGAACCCCUGGAUGCAGUCCUUCCUCAAGGUGGACAAUGGGGAGUGCAUGGAGAACCCUGUGGUGAUUUCCUUGGUGAGGCAGAUCCGUGAGCUGGCCUAUGACAUGGAGGACUCCAUCAAGUUCGUCGUUCAUUUUAUCAUCAUUGUCAUAAUGAGAAAUUCGCAGGAUUUCUAA